CCCAUAAACGCAUAAUUGUCCCAUGUGAAUAGAAAAUCCAGCCACAUUGGACUGGCAUGCGUUUAUGGG
rnacentral:pre_miRNA from 1 species